GGGUUGUGAGGUUAAGCGACUAAGCGUACACGGUGGAUGCCCUGGCAGUCAGAGGCGAUGAAGGACGUGCUAAUCUGCGAAAAGCGUCGGUAAGGUGAUAUGAACCGUUAUAGCCGGCGAUGUCCGAAUGGGGAAACCCAGUGUGAUUCGUCACACUAUCGUUAACUGAAUACAUAGGUUAACGAGGCGAACCGGGGGAACUGAAACAUCUAAGUACCCCGAGGAAAAGAAAUCAACCGAGAUUCCCCCAGUAGCGGCGAGCGAACGGGGAGCAGCCCAGAGUCUGAAUCAGCUUGUGUGUUAGUGGAACGGUCUGGAAAGUCCGACGGUACAGGGUGAUAGUCCCGUACACCAAAAUGCACAGGCUGUGAACUCGAAGAGUAGGGCGGGACACGUGGUAUCCUGUCUGAAUAUGGGGGGACCAUCCUCCAAGGCUAAAUACUCCUGACUGACCGAUAGUGAACCAGUACCGUGAGGGAAAGGCGAAAAGAACCCCGGCGAGGGGAGUGAAAAAGAACCUGAAACCGUGUACGUACAAGCAGUGGGAGCACCUUCGGGUGUGACUGCGUACCUUUUGUAUAAUGGGUCAGCGACUUAUAUUCUGUAGCAAGGUUAACCGUAUAGGGGAGCCGCAGGGAAACCGAGUCUUAACUGGGCGUUAAGUUGCAGGGUAUAGACCCGAAACCCGGUGAUCUAGCCAUGGGCAGGUUGAAGGUUGGGUAACACUAACUGGAGGACCGAACCGACUAAUGUUGAAAAAUUAGCGGAUGACUUGUGGCUGGGGGUGAAAGGCCAAUCAAACCGGGAGAUAGCUGGUUCUCCCCGAAAGCUAUUUAGGUAGCGCCUCGUGAACUCAUCUUCGGGGGUAGAGCACUGUUUCGGCUAGGGGGUCAUCCCGACUUACCAACCCGAUGCAAACUACGAAUACCGAAGAAUGUUAUCACGGGAGACACACGGCGGGUGCUAACGUCCGUCGUGAAGAGGGAAACAACCCAGACCGCCAGCUAAGGUCCCAAAGUCAUGGUUAAGUGGGAAACGAUGUGGGAAGGCACAGACAGCCAGGAUGUUGGCUUAGAAGCAGCCAUCAUUUAAAGAAAGCGUAAUAGCUCACUGGUCGAGUCGGCCUGCGCGGAAGAUGUAACGGGGCUAAACCAUGCACCGAAGCUGCGGCAGCGACACUAUGUGUUGUUGGGUAGGGGAGCGUUCUGUAAGCCUGCGAAGGUGACCUGUGAGGGUUGCUGGAGGUAUCAGAAGUGCGAAUGCUGACAUAAGUAACGAUAAAGCGGGUGAAAAGCCCGCUCGCCGGAAGACCAAGGGUUCCUGUCCAACGUUAAUCGGGGCAGGGUGAGUCGACCCCUAAGGCGAGGCCGAAAGGCGUAGUCGAUGGGAAACAGGUUAAUAUUCCUGUACUUGGUGUUACUGCGAAGGGGGGACGGAGAAGGCUAUGUUAGCCGGGCGACGGUUGUCCCGGUUUAAGCAUGUAGGCUGGUUGUCCAGGCAAAUCCGGAUAAUCAAGGCUGAGGUGUGAUGACGAGGCACUACGGUGCUGAAGUAACAAAUGCCCUGCUUCCAGGAAAAGCCUCUAAGCAUCAGGUAACAUUAAAUCGUACCCCAAACCGACACAGGUGGUCAGGUAGAGAAUACCAAGGCGCUUGAGAGAACUCGGGUGAAGGAACUAGGCAAAAUGGUGCCGUAACUUCGGGAGAAGGCACGCUGGUGUGUAGGUGAAGUCCCUGCGGAUGGAGCUGAGACCAGUCGAAGAUACCAGCUGGCUGCAACUGUUUAUUAAAAACACAGCACUGUGCAAACACGAAAGUGGACGUAUACGGUGUGACGCCUGCCCGGUGCCGGAAGGUUAAUUGAUGGGGUUAUCCGUAAGGAGAAGCUCUUGAUCGAAGCCCCGGUAAACGGCGGCCGUAACUAUAACGGUCCUAAGGUAGCGAAAUUCCUUGUCGGGUAAGUUCCGACCUGCACGAAUGGCGUAAUGAUGGCCAGGCUGUCUCCACCCGAGACUCAGUGAAAUUGAACUCGCUGUGAAGAUGCAGUGUACCCGCGGCAAGACGGAAAGACCCCGUGAACCUUUACUAUAGCUUGACACUGAACAUUGAGCCUUGAUGUGUAGGAUAGGUGGGAGGCUUUGAAGCGUGGACGCCAGUCUGCGUGGAGCCAACCUUGAAAUACCACCCUUUAAUGUUUGAUGUUCUAACGUUGGCCCCUGACCGGGGUUGCGGACAGUGUCUGGUGGGUAGUUUGACUGGGGCGGUCUCCUCCCAAAGCGUAACGGAGGAGCACGAAGGUUAGCUAAUCCUGGUCGGACAUCAGGAGGUUAGUGCAAUGGCAUAAGCUAGCUUGACUGCGAGCGUGACGGCGCGAGCAGGUGCGAAAGCAGGUCAUAGUGAUCCGGUGGUUCUGAAUGGAAGGGCCAUCGCUCAACGGAUAAAAGGUACUCCGGGGAUAACAGGCUGAUACCGCCCAAGAGUUCAUAUCGACGGCGGUGUUUGGCACCUCGAUGUCGGCUCAUCACAUCCUGGGGCUGAAGUAGGUCCCAAGGGUAUGGCUGUUCGCCAUUUAAAGUGGUACGCGAGCUGGGUUUAGAACGUCGUGAGACAGUUCGGUCCCUAUCUGCCGUGGGCGCUGGAGAAUUGAGGGGGGCUGCUCCUAGUACGAGAGGACCGGAGUGGACGCAUCACUGGUGUUCGGGUUGUCAUGCCAAUGGCACUGCCCGGUAGCUAAAUGCGGAAGAGAUAAGUGCUGAAAGCAUCUAAGCACGAAACUUGCCCCGAGAUGAGUUCUCCCUGAGACUUUAAGUCUCCUGAAGGAACGUUAAAGACGAUGACGUUGAUAGGCCGGGUGUGUAAGCGCAGCGAUGCGUUGAGCUAACCGGUACUAAUGAACCGUGAGGCUUAACCUUACAACGCCGAAG
rnacentral:rRNA from 1 species